rnacentral:rRNA from 1 species
UACGAAGGGGGCUAGCGUUGUUCGGAAUCACUGGGCGUAAAGCGCACGUAGGCGGAUGUGCCAGUCAGGGGUGAAAUCCCGGAGCUCAACUCCGGAACUGCCUCUGAUACAGCACGUCUUGAGUUCGAGAGAGGUGGGUGGAAUUCCUAGUGUAGAGGUGAAAUUCGUAGAUAUUGGGAGGAACACCGGUGGCGAAGGCGGCUACCUGGACCGGUUCUGACGCUGAUGCGCGAAAGCGUGGGUAGCAAACAGG